CUCUGUGAUAGGAUUGAAACGUUUCUCAUUGAAUGGGAGCGAGUUUCUCUCGUGUAAGGAACGCGCUCCUAUCACGUAUCUCAGUGAGGAGCGCAAAAUCGCGUUUCUCAGUGAGAUUCGUGAUGGGUUUGGACGUUCCUGGCUACUAAGAUCUCAAAUACUGUAAUGAAACAAUUUUAUUGUCCGGACUUAAAAUUGUUAGUUUUCCUAAUCCUAACCAUUGUCAGUAACAUCUUAAAUAUAAAUUUUCAUCAACUCACACUCACUAUAUACAUAAUCUGAGUUUAACUUUAGUUUCAAGAUGGAUCUACACAACUGUUAAUGAUCACCAAGGUUAUGUUUUUUUUUUUGUUCGUACAAUUGUGAUGUCUAAUUCUUCAUUCAGGAUUUCAAAGUCAAGUUUAGCAGUAGUUGUCACUCCCUCACUCUUACAUGGUGGGUUUCUCAUGUGACUCCAACGUUGGAGUAGUCAUUUUUGCGUGGUGGUUUUGCCACAUGUAUCCAUCGUGACACUUAACAAUGAUAUGUAUAUAAUUAAAUUAUCAAAAGAAAUGCUUCAGGCUAGGUACCUGAUAUAAAUGAUAACGCACAUGUUACCUAGUAUUAGGGGUUUUACUUAAGCAAGUUUGUAGAUAUCCACCUUUCUAAAUUAUUGUGUAGUUAAAAUAGAUAAAUUGGUAAUUAGAUUCAUCAUUAGAUGAUUACAUUUCUCUUUCCAUGGGAGCCAGAUGCUGCUAGGCUCCUGCUACUUAGCCUAGAGCCUUGAGCAUUGUACAAAGGCGUGUUGUAGGAAAACCAUUUACUUUCUGGGUGUAAUUUCCACAACAUGGGGGUUCAUCUUAGCAAGAAAUAUUGCAUUAGGAUAAUGGCUAAAAGAAUUUGAAAAGCAUGGCAUUAAGAUUUCCUCCAUAUCUUUAUAUCCUUGAGGUCGAUGGUGUUGCUUCCUUUUUUAGUGAUUCUACUUCUUUUUGCCUGUAGACCGGUUGCUUUACUCCAUCAUACCUCUCGGGGGAGACUCAGCUAAUGUUGAGCAUUUUGGUCAGGAGUCGAAAACUUUUUUAGUCUAAGUCCAACAUUAGACUAUGGAAAUUUUAAGGCUCUAAAUAGAAUGUGCAGUGACCUAUGAGCAGCAAGGAGCGACAGUUUACUGUACAUGGAUUGUGAUAUGUGUUGCAGUGAACUCAGCUAAUGUUGCAGUUGUUGUUGCAUUCUUUGUUCUACUAUUAUUGGUUGGAUCCAUGGGGCUAUAGAUUUAUUACAUGUGAACUAAACAAGAGGAAAAAUAAUUUUGUUGGCAUACUGAUCAUCUGAACUGUGCCCUUUGGGGAGAUGAAGCAACUGAAGGAAUUUAAAGUCGAGUCCAUUUUUUCAGCAAUCAAAAAUGGAUGCUACCGAGUCAUUUCUUCGUCCCAGUUGGUUUCGUGGUCUCUAGGAUCAAGUGAUAAUAGACAUGGAGGCCCGUUGAUGAACAUGAGUUUCUCCUAGAUUCAGCAGUUUACUAACUACUGAGUAUACAACUCUAACCACCUCCAAUUUACACGGUGAAGAAUAUGGAAGAGCUCAAGAAUUUGUACAACAUUGUUUGGGCUUUCACAGAUAAGAAGCUUAAAGUGGGAAAUGAUUUGUGAAAUUUUGGUAACGGGACCAUGGAUGUCGAGAAGAUGUGAUAACAGAGAUUCCUUGAAUGAUGUUAAAAGGUAUGAGAAAGUUGGCGAUGAAAUGAAAAUGCUGGAUUUGAUGAAUCCUAAUGGGUUCUUUGUGGAAGAUGGCGGGAUUUGGGUGAGACGUGUAGUGGUUGUUCUAAAAGACGUUGUUAAAUGGUUUUUUGUUUCCCAUUAGCUUAAUUUAUGGGUUUGCCUGAAUAAAUCCCAUUAGCUCAAACAUGUGAGGUGUUACCAAGUAUGAUAUUUUUGAUUGAGUAGAUAGUUGAAGUCAUCAGAGUCCAAUACUUCAAAAACAGUCUAAAGAGUUCCUUACGAACUUUAAAAGUUGAGAUCCAAUGGGAGUAAGUUAAGAGGCGCACAUUGCAGCCGAGAAAUGCAUCUGAAGUUUACCUAGGUAAAUACUAUUGAAGAAGCUUCAAGUUAAAGAGGAUGGCAUCAUAUUUGGAGUUUAGUAAAAUAUAUGACUCAGGAAAGAUGUAGGCACAUUAACAAACAUGGGUUAAAAGGUUUUCAAGCUCAUGACCGAGUGGCCUCUGAUUGUCAACGAAACCUUUUACUCUUGGAAGAAUAAAAUCAAGGUUCAGUUUGGCUUUAACUAUCUUGAAAAUUGAUCAUCUCUAUGUGGCUAGCAACUAUCGGUCUAGGAAGCAAGAGAGAUAUUCAACUUGAUGUUUUUAAGAGGUGGGAUGCCAUGCAGAUUUCAUUGCUGUUCACUUUCCACAGUAACUCCUUUUAGACAAUCCUCAAGUAUAUAGAUGGACAUUUUUAAAAACUAACAAACAACUAAUAUGCAAAGAAAAAGAAAAAGGUAGACAAUUUUCUUUUCCAAGUUCAACAAACAAGGUACUCUAUAUGAUGGACAUUUUUAUUUUUGAGGGCAGUUUUUUCUCCUAUUAGAUUUGGCUUUCAGAGAACAAUACAGGGUUACACGUGAUUAGAACAUGCAUGUCUUACCCAUUGAGUGAAAAAUGUUUCAUUGCGAAUAUUGUGGUAUUCGAGUUGAGGUUGAUAUGUCUUGCUUCCGGACCAUCUUCCCUCUAUUUCUACAACAAAACCAUGUCAACAAGAUUAAUAAUGGUUAAAUUCGUCUUCUUUA